rnacentral:rRNA from 1 species
GGUCAAGCGAAUAAGCGCACACGGUGGAUGCCUAGGCGGUCAGAGGCGAUGAAGGACGUGGUAGCCUGCGAAAAGUGUCGGGGAGCUGGCAACAAGCUUUGAUCCGGCAAUAUCCGAAUGGGGAAACCCACUGCUUCGGCAGUAUCCUGCAGUGAAUUCAUAGCUGCUGGAAGCGAACCCGGUGAACUGAAAUAUCUAAGUAACCGGAGGAAAAGAAAUCAACCGAGAUUCCCUGAGUAGUGACGAGCGAACGGGGAACAGCCCUUAAGCUGGAAUGGCUUUAGAAAAACAAUCUGGAAAGAUUGGCCAUAGAAGGUGAUAGCCCUGUAUUUAAAAGGGCCACUCCAGUGAAGACGAGUAGGGCGGGGCACGUGAAACCCUGUCUGAAUAUGGGGGGACCAUCCUCCAAGGCUAAAUACUCCUGACCGACCGAUAGUGAACCAGUACCGUGAGGGAAAGGCGAAAAGAACCCCGGAGAGGGGAGUGAAAUAGAUCCUGAAACCGUGUGCGUACAAGCAGUAGGAGCUCGCAAGAGUGACUGCGUACCUUUUGUAUAAUGGGUCAGCGACUUACUGUUCGUGGCAAGCUUAACCGUAUAGGGGAGGCGAAGGGAAACCGAGUCUGAUAAGGGCGCAUAGUCGCGGGCAGUAGACCCGAAACCGGGUGAUCUAGUCAUGGCCAGGGUGAAGGUGCCGUAACANNNNNNNNNNNNNNNNNNNNNNNNNNNNNNNNNNNNNNNNNNNNNNNNNNNNNNNNNNNNNNNNNNNNNNNNNNNNNNNNNNNNNNNNNNNNNNNNNUAGGUACUGGAGGCCCGAACCCACGUCUGUUGCAAAAGACGGGGAUGAGCUGUGAUUAGGAGUGAAAAGCUAAUCGAACCCGGAGAUAGCUGGUUCUCCUCGAAAGCUAUUUAGGUAGCGCCUCAUAUGUAUCCUCUCGGGGGUAGAGCACUGUUAUGGCUAGGGGGUCAUCGCGACUUACCAAACCAUUGCAAACUCCGAAUACCGAGACGGACUGUAUGGGAGACACACGGCGGGUGCUAACGUCCGUCGUGAAAAGGGAAACAACCCAGACCCACAGCUAAGGUCCCAAAUUCACUGCUAAGUGGAAAACGAUGUGGAAAGGCAUAGACAGCCAGGAGGUUGGCUUAGAAGCAGCCACCCUUUAAAGAAAGCGUAAUAGCUCACUGGUCGAGUCGGUCUGCGCGGAAGAUUUAACGGGGCUAAGCAGUGAACCGAAGCUUGGGGUGCAUAAAACUUGUUUUAUGCGCGGUAGAGGAGCGUUCCGUAAGCCUGCGAAGGUGGAUUGAGAAGUCUGCUGGAGGUAUCGGAAGUGCGAAUGCUGACAUGAGUAACGAUAAUGCGGGUGAAAAGCCCGCACGCCGAAAGCCCAAGGUUUCCUUGCGCAACGUUAAUCGACGCAGGGUUAGUCGGUCCCUAAGGCGAGGGCGAAAGCCGUAGUCGAUGGGAAGCAGGUUAAUAUUCCUGCACCUCGCGUGAGUGCGAUGGAGGGACGGAGAAGGUUAGGUGUACCGGGCGUUGGUUGUCCCGGGGAAAGGCGGUAGGUUUGAAUCUUUGGCAAAUCCGGGAUUCUUUAAGACCGAGCACCGAGACGAGCCUUUAUGGCGAAGUCACUGAUACCACGCUUCCAGGAAAAGCUCCUAAGCUUCAGCUCACGAAGACCGUACCGUAAACCGACACAGGUGGGUAGGAUGAGAAUUCUCAGGCGCUUGAGAGAACUCGGGUGAAGGAACUAGGCAACAUGGCACCGUAACUUCGGGAGAAGGUGCACCCUUUUUGGUGGCUCAUGCGAGCUAUAGCUGAAGAGGGUCGCAGAAACCAGGCCGCUGCGACUGUUUAUCAAAAACACAGCACUCUGCAAACACGAAAGUGGACGUAUAGGGUGUGACGCCUGCCCGGUGCUGGAAGGUUAAUUGAUGGGGUCAGCCGCAAGGCGAAGCUCUUGAUCGAAGCCCCAGUAAACGGCGGCCGUAACUAUAACGGUCCUAAGGUAGCGAAAUUCCUUGUCGGGUAAGUUCCGACCUGCACGAAUGGCGUAACGACAGCGGCGCUGUCUCCACCCGAGACUCAGUGAAAUUGAAAUCGCUGUGAAGAUGCAGCGUUCCCGUGGCAAGACGGAAAGACCCCGUGAACCUUUACUAUAGCUUUACACUGAACGUUGAGUUCGUCUGUGUAGGAUAGGUGGGAGGCUAUGAAACUGUGGCGCUAGCUGCAGCGGAGCCAUCCUUGAAAUACCACCCUGUCGUGCUUGACGUUCUAACCUAGGUCCGUUAUCCGGAUCAGGGACCGUGUAUGGUGGGUAGUUUGACUGGGGCGGUCUCCUCCUAAAGAGUAACGGAGGAGCACGAAGGUACGCUCAGCGCGGUCGGACAUCGCGCACUGUGUGCAAAGGCAUAAGCGUGCUUGACUGCAAGAUCGACGGAUCAAGCAGGUACGAAAGUAGGUCUUAGUGAUCCGGUGGUUCUGUAUGGAAGGGCCAUCGCUCAACGGAUAAAAGGUACUCCGGGGAUAACAGGCUGAUACCGCCCAAGAGUUCAUAUCGACGGCGGUGUUUGGCACCUCGAUGUCGGCUCAUCACAUCCUGGGGCUGUAGUCGGUCCCAAGGGUAUGGCUGUUCGCCAUUUAAAGUGGUACGCGAGCUGGGUUCAGAACGUCGUGAGACAGUUCGGUCCCUAUCUGCCAUGGGCGUUGGAAGUUUGAGAGGGGCUGCUCCUAGUACGAGAGGACCGGAGUGGACGAACCUCUGGUGUUCCGGUUGUCACGCCAGUGGCAUUGCCGGGUAGCUAUGUUCGGAAGCGAUAACCGCUGAAAGCAUCUAAGCGGGAAGCGCGCCUCAAGAUGAGACUUCCCGGGGCACAAGCCCCCUAAAGGAACCAUGUAGACUACGUGGUUGAUAGGUCAGGUGUGUAAGUACAGCAAUGUAUUGAGCUAACUGAUACUAAUGAUCCGUGCGGCUUGACCAU